UACGUAGGGGGCAAGCGUUGUCCGGAAUUACUGGGCGUAAAGCGCACGUAGGCGGACUGUUAAGUCGGGGGUGAAAUCCUGGGGCUCAACCUCAGAAUUGCCUCCGAUACUGGCAGUCUCGAGUGCGGGAGAGGUGAGUGGAAUUCCCAGUGUAGAGGUGAAAUUCGUAGAUAUUGGGAAGAACACCAGUGGCGAAGGCGGCUCACUGGCCCGUAACUGACGCUGAGAUGCGAAAGCGUGGGGAGCAAACAGG
rnacentral:rRNA from 1 species